GACGAACGCUGGCGGCGUGCUUAACGCAUGCAAGUCGAACGGAAAGGCCCUGCUUUUGUGGGGUGCUCGAGUGGCGAACGGGUGAGUAACACGUGAGUAACCUGCCCUUGACUUUGGGAUAACUUCAGGAAACUGGGGCUAAUACCGGAUAGGAGCUCCUGCUGCAUGGUGGGGGUUGGAAAGUUUCGGCGGUUGGGGAUGGACUCGCGGCUUAUCAGCUUGUUGGUGGGGUAGUGGCUUACCAAGGCUUUGACGGGUAGCCGGCCUGAGAGGGUGACCGGCCACAUUGGGACUGAGAUACGGCCCAGACUCCUACGGGAGGCAGCAGUGGGGGAUAUUGCACAAUGGGCGGAAGCCUGAUGCAGCAACGCCGCGUGCGGGAUGACGGCCUUCGGGUUGUAAACCGCUUUCGCCUGUGACGAAGCGUGAGUGACGGUAAUGGGUAAAGAAGCACCGGCUAACUACGUG
rnacentral:rRNA from 1 species